rnacentral:rRNA from 1 species
GUGCUUGCACUGAUUUCACAAUGAAGCGAGUGGCGAACUGGUGAGUAACACGUGGGGAAUCUGCCCAGAAGCAGGGGAUAACACUUGGAAACAGGUGCUAAUACCGUAUAACAACAAAAUCCGCAUGGAUUUUGUUUGAAAGGUGGCUUCGGCUAUCACUUCUGGAUGAUCCCGCGGCGUAUUAGUUAGUUGGUGAGGUAAAGGCCCACCAAGACGAUGAUACGUAGCCGACCUGAGAGGGUAAUCGGCCACAUUGGGACUGAGACACGGCCCAAACUCCUACGGGAGGCAGCAGUAGGGAAUCUUCCACAAUGGACGAAAGUCUGAUGGAGCAAUGCCGCGUGAGUGAAGAAGGGUUUCGGCUCGUAAAACUCUGUUGUUAAAGAAGAACACCUUUGAGAGUAACUGUUCAAGGGUUGACGGUAUUUAACCAGAAAGCCACGGCUAACUACGUGCCAGCAGCCGCGGUAAUACGUAGGUGGCAAGCGUUGUCCGGAUUUAUUGGGCGUAAAGCGAGCGCAGGCGGUUUUUUAAGUCUGAUGUGAAAGCCUUCGGCUUAACCGGAGAAGUGCAUCGGAAACUGGGAGACUUGAGUGCAGAAGAGGACAGUGGAACUCCAUGUGUAGCGGUGGAAUGCGUAGAUAUAUGGAAGAACACCAGUGGCGAAGGCGGCUGUCUAGUCUGUAACUGACGCUGAGGCUCGAAAGCAUGGGUAGCGAACAGGAUUAGAUACCCUGGUAGUCCAUGCCGUAAACGAUGAGUGCUAAGUGUUGGAGGGUUUCCGCCCUUCAGUGCUGCAGCUAACGCAUUAAGCACUCCGCCUGGGGAGUACGACCGCAAGGUUGAAACUCAAAGGAAUUGACGGGGGCCCGCACAAGCGGUGGAGCAUGUGGUUUAAUUCGAAGCUACGCGAAGAACCUUACCAGGUCUUGACAUCUUCUGCCAAUCUUAGAGAUAAGACGUUCCCUUCGGGGACAGAAUGACAGGUGGUGCAUGGUUGUCGUCAGCUCGUGUCGUGAGAUGUUGGGUUAAGUCCCGCAACGAGCGCAACCCUUAUUAUCAGUUGCCAGCAUUCAGUUGGGCACUCUGGUGAGACUGCCGGUGACAAACCGGAGGAAGGUGGGGAUGACGUCAAAUCAUCAUGCCCCUUAUGACCUGGGCUACACGUGCUACAAUGGACGGUACAACGAGUUGCGAAGUCGUGAGGCUAAGCUAAUUUAAAGCCGUU